rnacentral:tRNA from 1 species
GGGAAUGUGGCUUAGUGGUAGAGUGCUUGCCUAGCAUGCAUGAAGCCCUGGGUUCAAUUCCACAGUAUCA